rnacentral:rRNA from 1 species
UCCAGACUCCUACGGGAGGCAGCAGUGGGGAAUAUUGCACAAUGGGGGGAACCCUGAUGCAGCAAUGCCGCGUGAAGGAUGAAGGUUUUCGGAUUGUAAACUUCUUUUGUACGGGACGAAGAAAGUGACGGUACCGUAAGAAUAAGCCACGGCUAACUACGUGCCAGCAGCCGCGGUAAUACGUAGGGAGCAAGCGUUGUCCGGAAUUACUGGGCGUAAAGGGCGCGUAGGUGGGCGCUUAAGUCAGGUGUGAAAACUCCGGGCUCAACCUGGAGACUGCACUUGAAACUGGGUGUCUUGAGGGCAGGAGAGGAAAGUGGAAUUCCUAGUGUAGCGGUGAAAUGCGUAGAUAUUAGGAGGAACACCAGUGGCGAAGGCGGCUUACUGGACAGUAACUGACGUUGAGGCUCGAAAGCGUGGGGAGCAAACAGGAUUAGAUACCCCAGUAA